ensembl:misc_RNA 7SK 7SK RNA
GGAUAUGAGGGUGAUCUGGCUGCCACAUCUGUCACCCCAUUGAUCACCAGGGUUGAUCUGGCUGGCUAGGCAGGUGUCCCCUUCCUCCCUCACCAUUCCAUGUGUGUCCCUCCCAAAGCUGAGCUCUGGGUCGAGGAGGAUGACCUUCCACGAAUAGAGGAGGACUGGUCUUUGGUCAAGGUUAUAUGAGUAGCUGCGCUCCCCUGCUAGAACCUCCAAACAAGAUCUCAAUAUAUAAAUGAUCAAAUUAUUAAAUUUAGUUGUCGUGGUGGUUUGAAUGAGAAUGAGAAUGCCUCUGAUAGGCUCAGAUGUUU